rnacentral:rRNA from 1 species
AACCUACCUAUAAGACUGGGAUAACUUCGGGAAACCGGAGCUAAUACCGGAUAAUAUUUUGAACCGCAUGGUUCAAAAGUGAAAGACGGUCUUGCUGUCACUUAUAGAUGGAUCCGCGCUGCAUUAGCUAGUUGGUAAGGUAACGGCUUACCAAGGCAACGAUGCAUAGCCGACCUGAGAGGGUGAUCGGCCACACUGGAACUGAGACACGGUCCAGACUCCUACGGGAGGCAGCAGUAGGGAAUCUUCCGCAAUGGGCGAAAGCCUGACGGAGCAACGCCGCGUGAGUGAUGAAGGUCUUCGGAUCGUAAAACUCUGUUAUUAGGGAAGAACAUAUGUGUAAGUAACUGUGCACAUCUUGACGGUACCUAAUCAGAAAGCCACGGCUAACUACGUGCCAGCAGCCGCGGUAAUACGUAGGUGGCAAGCGUUAUCCGGAAUUAUUGGGCGUAAAGCGCGCGUAGGCGGUUUUUUAAGUCUGAUGUGAAAGCCCACGGCUCAACCGUGGAGGGUCAUUGGAAACUGGAAAACUUGAGUGCAGAAGAGGAAAGUGGAAUUCCAUGUGUAGCGGUGAAAUGCGCAGAGAUAUGGAGGAACACCAGUGGCGAAGGCGACUUUCUGGUCUGUAACUGACGCUGAUGUGCGAAAGCGUGGGGAUCAAACAGGAUUAGAUACCCUGGUAGUCCACGCCGUAAACGAUGAGUGCUAAGUGUUAGGGGGUUUCCGCCCCUUAGUGCUGCAGCUAACGCAUUAAGCACUCCGCCUGGGGAGUACGACCGCAA